CCGAAGUCUCACAAAGAGAAUCAUAUUCUGUAAAUAUGGAACUACCAAUUUAAGUGUUGUUAAGAUCGACUGGAAGGAUGGCAUGGUAUUGAGAUUGUGCAUCAGUUCGCAGGGCCAUGCGGGAUGGUAUUGUUGCUGUUAAUACUGCAGCUGAAUAAGCAUUGACACUUGUUAGCCUGGAAAACUCCAAGAAACUCCUACUAAACUCCCCUCAUAGUUUUCUAAAUGUUCUCUUUUAAUGUUUGUGAUAAUACCUUGUUUUUUUCAAUUUUGGAUUGUAAUUUUUUCUGGUGAAUACUGGUGAAAUGGACUAAUUUUUCCUGAAAUCUGUGUAAUUGCAGGUCGACGAACAACAAUUGUUGCUCAAUAUUCCAACUAACUGAAGAAGGUUCCAGACCCACUAUAUCUACUUGAUGCAGGUGCUUGCUUUUAAAGAUGGAAGGCAUUAUAAAGUUAGGGUAAACACUAUAUCUACUGGUAUGCCUAUGUAAAUUGUAAUUUUUCAUUUCUUUCAUUGCAUAAUUCAAUUUAAUGGUGGCGUUGGUCUUGGUGACUGUUGCUGGUUCAUGCCACCACAUAUUUGGUGGCAUGAAGAUUCACUUCCACCACCACCACCAUUCGAGCUCACAUUUUUGGUGGUUCGGUCAUUUGUAUAGUACCAAUCUAUGAUAUUCGUCGAGAUUAUAUUCCACAAAAAUAUGAAAUUUCAUAUUUUCAGUUCCCUGUUUAGUUUUUCUUUUUUACCUUUUUUAUGUACGUGGAGAUUCACAGGUUGCAUUUUAGUGUCAAAUGGAUUCUAUCCUAUCUAAGCCUCAAUUAGGGAGUCAAUUACAAAAGUGGGUAUUUGAACAUUGAUUCAACUCUUGAUGUUGGAAGGAAACUACCUGAAUGUGGAUUGUGGCAUUUAUGCAAUCAUAAUGUUUUCUCUAGGUACACCAUUAUGAAGUAGGAAUAAGUUCUUCACCAUCAUCGGAGUUUAUAAUUUUGCUGUUUAAUCAAUAGUUUUUUAGUUCAUCGUUUUGUAAUCGAAUCCUAGAACUACAGAUUACACUGAUCAGAACUACAUAUUUUAAUCCUUUGUGUAAUUUGAAACCAAUGAAUCAAUGAAUGUUAAAUUGAAUGAUUA